rnacentral:rRNA from 1 species
CCUAAGGUAGCGAAAUUCCUUGUCGGGUAAGUUCCGACCUGCACGAAUGGCGUAAUGAUGGCCAGGCUGUCUCCACCCGAGACUCAGUGAAAUUGAACUCGCUGUGAAGAUGCAGUGUACCCGCGGCAAGACGGAAAGACCCCGUGAACCUUUACUAUAGCUUGACACUGAACAUUGAGCCUUGAUGUGUAGGAUAGGUGGGAGGCUUUGAAGUGUGGACGCCAGUCUGCAUGGAGCCGACCUUGAAAUACCACCCUUUAAUGUUUGAUGUUCUAACGUUGACCCGUAAUCCGGGUUGCGGACAGUGUCUGGUGGGUAGUUUGACUGGGGCGGUCUCCUCCUAAAGAGUAACGGAGGAGCACGAAGGUUGGCUAAUCCUGGUCGGACAUCAGGAGGUUAGUGCAAUGGCAUAAGCCAGCUUGACUGCGAGCGUGACGGCGCGAGCAGGUGCGAAAGCAGGUCAUAGUGAUCCGGUGGUUCUGAAUGGAAGGGCCAUCGCUCAACGGAUAAAAGGUACUCUGGGGAUAACAGGCUGAUACCGCCCAAGAGUUCAUAUCGACGGCGGUGUUUGGCACCUCGAUGUCGGCUCAUCUCAUCCUGGGGCUGUAGUCGGUCCCAAGGGUAUGGCUGUUCGCCAUUUAAAGAGGUACGUGAGCUGGGUUUAAAACGUCGUGAGACAGUUUGGUCCCUAUCUGCCGUGGGCGUUGGAAGAUUGACGGGGUCUGCUCCUAGUACGAGAGGACCGGAGUGGACGCACCUCUGGUGUACCGGUUGUCACGCCAGUGGCAUAGCCGGGUAGCUAAGUGCGGAAGAGAUAACCGCUGAAAGCAUCUAAGCGGGAAACUUGCCUGAAGAUGAGUCUUCCCGGAGGAUAAACCUCCUUAAAGGGUCGUUCGAGACCAGGACGUUGAUAGGUUGGGUGUGCAAGUGCUGUGAGGCAUUGAGCUAACCAAUACUAAUUGCCCGUACGACUUGAUCCC